UGAACUGUUUCCUGUGGUCAUUUGAUUGGUACACAACAAAUGGCGUUGUUGUUAGUUGUCAUAGUGACAAUACGCGUCAAAGCUAUAGUGUGUGGUUUCUGU